AAGGCCUACACUCCGAAGAACUAUUACAUUGAAAGAUUCAAGGUGCAUUACACGAUCUUAUCUUUAUUUGCUUUUCCUCAGUUUUUCCCUCUUAAAAUCUGAUAUACCCAUACCUCAAAUACAUGUGUUCAUAAAAAUUAUUUUCCCAUCUGUUUACAACAACUAUGAAAUGAAAUUAAAUUUAUGGGGUCAAAGAGCUUCUGAGUUUGAUUCCGAUCAGAUAUGCCAGCUCAACCAACACCAUCCAGUGAUUGUCAUCUUUGUUGGUAUGCUUAUGAAAUCUUACAAAGGUGAACAUUCGUUAAGUGGCAACACAGCGUGCCGCUGGUAUAUCAAUCCUGAAGUCCCUGAGGUCGAUGAUUUUUUCCAUGGCCUCGGUGGUCAUUUCCAUCCUAUACAGUGCACCACACCCAUUCAACAACAACAUCCCUCUCACAGUACCAAUGUCGAACCGCAGCAAAAAAACUCUCUAUGAACUUCUUCAAAUUAGCCCAUACGACUUUCCAGCUAAGUGCAGCUCGCACUUAUACUUGCUGUUAUCUAAUUUGUUCCUAUUUACAUUCUGCACUACUCAUCCAGUCGCUAACUAAUUUUCCCUAAUCUACAGCGUGAAGGAUUUCAGUGUGUCGUCACUAUCUCAAUGAUAGAUCCAUUCAUAUCAUGGUGGUUUCCUUCUUGCAACCGAUGCAGCAAAACAUCACUGCCACAUGGAAAUGACUACAAGAGCCCACACUGCGCCUGUACUGGUUGUACAUUCAAAUACAAAAUAUGCUUGAUUGGAACUGACGGAACAGAUGAAGCAGAAUUCUUAUUCUUCGGAGCUAUGGAACAACGCCUUGUCCACAAAGACGUCAAAAUGCUAAUGAGGUCAUGUCACAAAGCUGAUGAAAUUCCAACCCCGAUAACAUCUUUAGUAUCACAAAAAUAUCUGCUGACAAUCAAUGUGACUAACAAAUGCUUUGAGAGAGCCCACCGAUCAUAUCAGGUGAAUGCCAUCAAUUGUGCAUACGGCAGGCAACCUACAAUUCCAACAGUUACAAAUCCCACUCCUAGACUUACUGGGAUGAAGCACAAAGGUGAUUCGUAUG